AUGGGGCAGCCCCUUUGGCCUCAUCUCCAGGAGCCGCCCCCUCCAGGGACGUCAUCACAAACCAGGAGCCCGCUCUUGUGUGACGUCAUAAAGCCCGCUCCGCAUCAUGACGUCACAGUGCGCGUAGUCCCGCCCCCUCGCUUUCUCCCUCGGCUCCUCCGUCCGCUCCCGUCGGACGGGGACAUUGCGAUGAGGCGGGAUCGCGGCCCUAAGCCGGCCCUGGGUGGAGCUGGCGAGGUGGAACUAGGUGGGAUGGCAGCCUCUCCCACGGGCCGUCCCAGACGGCUCCAACGCUACCUCCAGAGCGGCGAAUUCGACCAGUUUCGGGACUUGCCCAUCUUUGAGAGCAACUUCGUACAGGUGACUCGGUUGGGAGAAGUUGCCAACGAGGUCACCAUGGGGGUGGCAGCCUCCAGUCCAGCCCUGGAGCUCCCGGACCUAUUGCUUCUGGCCGGCCCUGCCAAGGAGAACGGACACCUGCAACUCUUCGGGCUGUUCCCCUUGAAGUUCGUCCAGCUCUUUGUCCACGACAAAAGCCGGUGUCAGCUCGAGGUCAAGUUGAACACCAGCCGCACCUUCUACUUGCAGCUGCGCGCCCCACUCAAGACCCGAGACCGAGAGUUUGGCCAGUGGGUGCGGCUGCUCUACCGCCUGCGCUUCCUCUCCGCUUCCACUGUGCCCUUCACGCAAGACCCCAAGGCGUGGAAGCCAGACUUGACCCCAAGACCUCUGAACUCUGGGGACUCUGAGUCUUCCAGCAUCCUUCAAGGUCACCGAAUGACCAGAGAUCAAAGUACCUUGCCUCAGGGCCGGGCAGAUGAGAUAUUAAAGUUAAUAAAGGUCAAUCCAUUAAGAACCAACAAGCAGGCCACGAGCGGUUUCGCCUUCAUCACCAAGUCCGCGCAGCUGCCUGGCAGGAGUUUGUCCAGCACGGCUGCCUCUCUCUUCGGUUCGCCACGUCUAGCUCUUGGGACCGCUGCCAAGGCCUAGAGGCGGCCAUACCGACACAGCUGCUUCGGUAGAGUGGCCUUCUGGGUGUGGCCUGGGUGUGUCUUUGACUCGCUGCCACUGUCGUUGCCCCUAGCCUGCACCCUCCCUCCCUCCCAGCAGCUUCUCUGGGGCCGGCCUCCCCGUGGGCUUGGGUUCACCUCUGAUGCUCUGUGGUUGCUGUGACAACGUGGCUGCCUCGCUAAAGUAGCUAUUCCAAGAGGCCACCUCACCGCGGCCUGUGUCGACGCAGCUGCUCCCAUCGCCAACCCCGGGGUGACCAAUCCCCUGCGGGAGGAAGACGGAGCUACGGAGUCAAGAAGGACAGACACUCCAGGGUCCAGACAACACUGUUUUGUUCUCAGCGAAAACUCCAGAAAGAACACAGUCCCGGGAGGUUGGGGAUUGGGGUCAGGACUCCACCACCAAUUGUCUUGGCAGGUAGGGGACAGGUCUCACUGCGGCACUGCAGGAAAACGAGAAAGCGGGUGAGCCAGGCCCGGGCACGCCUCCUCCUGAAGCCCCAGGAGGAGGAGCUGCAUCCACAUGACCAGCAGGGGGACAGGAUGACGGUCACCAUCCCGCCCCAUCCCAGGCCACUGUGGCUGGACAACCCAGAGUCACAGUGCCCCUGAUUACUGAUAUUUUGGAUCCCAGAUGGGGACAUUCUGAGCUGCUGGCUGUACGCGGUCACUGGAAUCCUGAGGCUGGGAUUUUUCUGAGCUGAUUUAAUAGUUAAUCAGGGAGACAGCAGAGUAUCAGAAAUUGGGUGGGCUUGGAAGGGCAGUGAUCUGGGGUGUUUUUGUUUGGUUUUUGAGACAACAGAGUCUCACUCUGUUGCACCAGGCUGGACUGCAGUGGUGCCAUCUCAGCUCACUGCAGCCUCGGCCUCCCCGGUUCAAGUGAUCCUCCUGCCCCAGCCCCCCAGGUAGCUGGGACAACAGGCAUGUGCCACCAGGCCCGGCUAAAUUUUUUUGUAUUUUUAGUAGAGACAGGGUUUUGCCAUGUUGCCCAGGCUGGUCUUGAACUCCUGGGCUCAAGCAACCCGCCUGCCUUGGCCUCCCAAUGUGCUGGGAUUACAGGUGAGAGCCACCGUGCUUGGCUAGAAAGUGUCGUCUCUGAGCCUUUGUUAAGGGUCCCCAGCCACCCUGUCUGCUGGGCUGUCCUCAGAGCCAGGGAAGUCAGAGGUCAGAAGUCACCAUCCGGGAGGGACUCUGGAAGUCCACAUUGAUGUCAUCCUGCUCUGAGGGACAUGGUUAGUGGCCUCCUCGCUGAGCCUUGACUGGCAGACGUCUGAUGGGCCGGAGCCCAGGGUAAAGGAGCGGGGGAAUUGUGUUCCAGGAAGAGGGAAGAGCAUGUGGCAAGUCCCUGUGGCAGGAAAGCCUGGCCAGUGUAACCGCCAACAGCCUGGUGUGGCUGGGACAGCAUGUGGGAAGAACCAGGGCGGACACACCACCGUGAACACCAGGCGGAGGGGCGCUGGGGUGGUGGGGAUCCCCCAGCAGGCUGGGAUCAGGGCUGGGGCAGAGCAGCUCUGGAUAGAGAGAGCUCUCUGGGGCCAGAGUCCAAGGGUGAAGGUGGCUGGCAGGAGGGAGAGACUGGAGACAGGGAGGCGGCUGGAAAUGGAAUAUGGGAGGAAGAGGAUGUAGCUUUCGCUGGGGCUGGAGCUGUGGGACCGAGAUGAGGGGACGGGGCAGGGAGAGGCAGGGGCAGGUGGGUGGGAGCAUGGGGACAGGCUAUGGAGGGGAGGCACUUUUGGGAGCUCCCACCACCCCUGGUCAUCCGUGUUAUCCAUAUUUGCUCUCACUCUGUCAACCCAUCUGCCUACGGGGGCCCAGGUACACUGGAGGCCUUGGGGACGUUUCCUAAGCCCUUCUCACUCAGCCUUCCUCUUCCUUGUCCUUCAACUCCUUUGGAAAAAUCUGACUCCUGCCCAAGCUGGGUCAGGGGCUCCCCCACCCCAACUCCUAGGAUGCCCUGUGCUGCCUUCAGGACAGCAGCUUGCCAGUCCUCCUCCCAGAGGGCCGGUCUCACUCGUCUCCAGAUCUCAGCGGUGCUCAGCCCGGGGCCAUCGGCCAGGCUGGCACAGGGCCCGAGCAAGGGUCAGCCAGUGUUGGGGAUGGCCACGCCCUCACCUCGGACCUCCAGCUUGCACUCAGCCAGCGCCUCGCCCAGCUCGUUGACGGCCCGGCAGGUGUAAGUCCCAGCGUCGAAGGGCGAGGGGCGACGGAUGUUCAGCGUCAGGACUCCUUGGUAAUUGGUUAUCAGGAACUUGGGAUCUUCACGGAUUUCCAUCUUGUUCUUCAUCCAGACCACCUUCGGCUGUUGAGAGUCAAGGGAGAGGAGGCCAACUUAGAGAGAGUCCCUGGGCAAUGAUGACAAAAUGGGGCUCAGGAAGCAGAUCUGGGUUCUAGGCUCUGCCACCCUCUUGCCAGAUGUUCUUGGACGAGUCACUUCUCCCUGACCCUCAGUCUCCUCUUCUGUAAAAGCAGGUUGAUAAUCCCACUUCACAGGGUAAUGGUGGGGUCUUCCCAUUGCUCUCAGGACAAAGAGCUCACUGUUUGUAGUGGCCCACAGGGUCCCACACUCUUUGACCCCCAUUACUUCUCUGCUCCAGCCAAACAGGCUACCUCACUGUCCUUCAAACAGACCAGACAGGCACCCACCUCAGGACCCUGGCACUGGCCGUUCCCUCUUCCAUAGUGCCCUUCCCUUUUUUUUUUUUUUUGGGACAGAAUCUCGCUUUGUCUCCCAGGCUGGAGUGCAGUGGCGUGAUCUUGGCUCACUGCAACCUCCACCUCCCGGGUUUAAGCAAUUAUCCUGCCUCAGCUUCCCAAGUGGUUGGGAUUAGAGGCGCCUGCCACCAUGCCUGGCUAGUUUUUGUAUUUUUAGUAGAGAUGGGGUUUCACCAUAUUGGCCAGGCUGGUCUCAAACUCCUGACCUCAGGUGAUCUGCCCGCCUCAGCCUCCCAAAGUGCUGGGAUUACAGGUAUGAGCCACUGUGUCUGGCCCAGCCCUUCAUAAUUUUAUAUUAUUUAUGUGGCUCUGGGCAAAUGUCAGUCUACCCCAACAUACAGGAAAUUUCUUGUUCGAAUCACCCAGGUCAUUGAAAGCCUCUGAAAAUGUUUGUUGUAAGAAUAAAUGGAGUGAAUAAAUGAAUGAGAGCACGAAACAGUGCUGUAAA